AAGUUUGGUGCCAGCAGCCGCGGUAAUUCCAGCUCCAAUAGCGUAUAUUAAAGUUGUUGCAGUUAAAAAGCUCGUAGUUGAAUUUCGGGGUCAGCAAGUUGGUCGUGCCACUGGUAUGUACUGGCUUUGCUGAUUCCUCCUUCUUGAAGAACCGUAAUGCCAUUAAUUUGGUGUUGCGGGGAAACAGGACUGUUACUUUGAAAAA
rnacentral:rRNA from 1 species